rnacentral:rRNA from 1 species
UGAGGAAUAUUGGUCAAUGGGCGAGAGCCUGAACCAGCCAUCCCGCGUGCAGGAAGAAUGUCCUAUGGAUUGUAAACUGCUUUUCCACUAGAAGAAUAAGAGCUACGUGUAGCUUUACGACGGUAUAGUGGGAAUAAGCAUCGGCUAACUCCGUGCCAGCAGCCGCGGUAAUACGGAGGAUGCGAGCGUUAUCCGGAUUUAUUAGGUUUAAAGGGUGCGUAGGCGGUAUUUUAAGUCAGUGGUGAAAGAUUGUAGCUCAACUAUGAUAAGCCAUAGAAACUGGAAUACUUGAGUGCAGAUGAGGUAGGCGGAAUGUGUUGUGUAGCGGUGAAAUGCAUAGAUAUAACACAGAACACCAAUUGCGAAGGCAGCUUACUAAAGUGUAACUGACGCUGAGGCA